UUUCCCCCCCAAAGUAGGGUUAACCAAAGCCACCCCACUUUUCAACUAGGGGCGUAUUCCAGCCUACAUAGUCCACGUAUUUAGUCAACAGCAUAAGAGCGGUGAUUGGAUGGAUACGGAGAGCCUGGAGUAAAUAAAGCGCAUAGGGUGACUUCAGGUCAAAAUCCGUGCUGAUUUGGGCCUGUGCUGUCUGGGACACCAUACAGGCACCUGGGGAAUUGUGUUCCAGCACCUCUAUGAAAACAAAGUAUCCUAUUGCUGGCCCAGAUUCACACAUCGAGGCAAAAAAGAUCCUCUCAAGCUCUUCAGGUUGGAUGGGGAGCGUCGCUGCACAGCUAUUUUCAGGUCUAUCCAGAGAUGUUCAAUCGGGUUCAAGUCUGGGCUCUGGCUGUGCCACUCAAGGACAUUCAGAGUCGUGAAGCCACUCCUGCAUUGUCUUGUCUGUUUGCUUAGGGUCAUUACCCUGUUGUAAGGUGAACCUUUGCCGCAGUCUGAGGUCUGGAACAGGUUUUCAUCGAGGAUCUCUCUUUACUUUGCUCCGUUCAUCUUUUCCUCGAUCCUGACUAUUCUCCCAGUCCUUACCACUGAAAAACAUCCCCACAGCAUGAUGCUGCCACCAAAGAGGCCAAAGAGUUCAACCUUGGUUUCAUCAGACCAGAGAAUCUUGUUUCUCAUGGUCUGAGAGUCCUUUAGAUGCCUUUUGGCAAACUCCAAGCAGGCUGUCAUGUGCCUUAUACUGAGGAGUGGCUUCUGUCUGGCCACUCAACCAUAAAGGCCCAAUUGGUGUAGUGCUGCAGAUAUGGUUGUCCUUCUGGAAUGUUCUCCCAUCCCCACAGUGGAACUCUGGAGCUCUGUCAGAGUGACCAUCAGGUUCUUGGUCACCUCCAAGAUCAAGGCCCUUCUACCCCGAUUACUCAGUUUGGCCGGGCGGCCAGGUCUAGGAAGAGUCUUGGUGGUUCCAAACUUAUUCCAAUGAAGAAUGAUGGAGGCCACUGUGUUCUUGGGGACCUUCAACAAUGCAGACAUUUAUUGGUACCCUUCCCCAGAUUUGUGCUCCGACACAAUCCUGUCUCGGAGCUCUACGGACAAUUCCUUUGACCUCAUGGCUUGGUUUUUGCUCUGACAUGCACUGUCAACUGUGGGACUUUAUAUAGACAGGUGUGUGUCUUUCCAAAUCAUAUCUAAUCAAUUGAAUUUACCACAGGUGUACUCUAAUCAAGUUGUAGAAACAUCUCAAGGAUGAUCAAUGGGAACAGGAUGCUCAAUUUCGAGUCCCAUAGCCAAGGGUCUGAAUACUUACAGUACCAUUCAAAAGUUUGGAC
rnacentral:lncRNA from 1 species